CUCUUCGGUUAGUACCCGGAGACGAUGACAUUAGCUGCAGAAUAAGCACCGGCUAACUCUGUGCCAGCAGCCGCGGUAAUACAGAGGGUGCAAGCGUUAAUCGGAAUUACUGGGCGUAAAGCGAGCGUAGGUGGCUUGAUAAGUCAGAUGUGAGAUCCCCGGGCUUAACCUGGGAACUGCAUCUGAAACUGUUAGGCUAGAGUAGGUGAGAGGGAAGUAGAAUUUCAGGUGUAGCGGUGAAAUGCGUAGAGAUCUGAAGGAAUACCGAUGGCGAAGGCAGCUUCCUGGCAUCAUACUGACACUGAGGCUCGAAAGCGUGGGUAGCAAACAGGAUUAGAUACCCUGGUAGUCCACGCCGUAAACGAUGUC
rnacentral:rRNA from 1 species